rnacentral:misc_RNA from 1 species
GUGAAUCAUCGAAUCUUUGAACGCAUAUUGCGCCCUCUGGCAUUCCGGAGGGCACACCUGUUCGAGCGCCGUCGCAACACUGAGGCUCAGCCUUGCGUUGGCAGACUACCGUGGUAGCUGCCCAAACCCAGACGGCGUCGCCCCGUGGCCGACGAUGCGCAAAAGCAAAAGUCAGUCUCGGGAGUCCGGCAGCCUUGUAUCGACUUCAAGCUUGGCCUCGAAUCAGGUGGGGAUACCCGCUGAACUUAAGCAUAUCAAUAAGCGGAGGA